rnacentral:lncRNA from 1 species
CGUAGGCAUGGCUAUGCUGUUAAAGUGGAAAGGGCCAACAUCAUUAGAUUGAUCUGCAAGAGUGCGUCUUGGAGGAGGUUGUUCAACCAUCUCCUCUACUCUUCGAACUGGUGAAGGUGAUAGUAAUCUUUCAGGAGAAGGGAAGAAAUCCCUAGAUGGGCGUCUGACUCUCCUUCUUCCCCUAGUCUCACUUAAGCCUUCAAGAAGAGGUUGCGUAUUUUUCUUGCUCCUAGUAUGUCUAGUCUCCUGCAUGCACAAGAAACACAAACCCUAGUAGCACUUUUAUAUAAAAAAUAAACAAAAACAAAAACAAAAAUAAAAAUAAAAUAUAUACAAUCAAGUCAAAGUUAAUCAGUUUACACUACUAGAUAGGUUAAACCACAAGUCCCCGACAACGACGCCAAAAACUUGCUAAGUCCCUAACAAGUGUACCAGAUCGUUAUCAAGUAAUAUAAAAUGGGUAAGUCCAAGUAUCGUUUCCCAAAGGACCCUUAGGCCUUAACUUUCUUGUAAACUAGUUACGUAAGAAUUUAGAAAAGAAUUAAAUUUGAGUUUUUGAAUGUAAGAACAAAAGUAAACAUGCAAAUGCAGUGAAUUAAUUGGCAAGGGAAAAACUAUGAAUGAAUGGUGUUGUUGGGGUUUACAAUUUCAUCUUAUCCACUCUCUUAUAUCUACUCUUCUUAUCUAAUUUUCUUAUUUAUCAUAUUGUCAUGCAAACUUUCUUGGUCUACCCUUAACCCAAUCUCUUGGUGAAAAGAGCCUGUUACUAAUUAUCGGCUUGCUAUCUCUAGCCUCCCAUAGUAACUAAUAAUGCAUGAUAAACGAAAGCAAAAUACAAUUGAUUGUCCUACCCCUAUCUCUAGGUAGUAUUAGCUUAAUCAAGGAAUUUCCCCC